GUGUUGCUGUUGUUCCUCUCAGACUGACUCCAGAUCAGAAGAUGAGUCAUUUGGAGGAAGAGGAGGACGGAGCAGAGUCUGGAGUACCAGGCUGGUGGUCUAUGAAGAGUGACCGGUCCAGAAGAGAACCUCUGAACUUCAGUAAAGAACUUGGACCCCCAGACACAAAAGUCCAGAACAAUGACGGAGACCAGAGUCUGUAGUAUCAGCUGUCAGUCUAUGAAGAGUGACUGGUCCAAAGGCAAUCCUCCAGACUUCAGUCCUGGACCUGGACCCUCAGACACAAAAGAGAAGAGGAGAGAUGUCUUGAG